GUAGUAGUUGUUGAGCAGAGGGAAAGGGAUAGGAGAAGGAUGUGGACUGCAGUGCUGCAGUGCCAGGAAGUUCGAGGACCUUCAGAAAUCAAUCCAUGGGCUCCACAAGCACUGUAUCAAGAGGCAUUCGAGACCAGUCUGGGCUAGAGGUGGACAUGAGAGAAAGAUCCCAUAGCCCUCUUGGUCUUGGUUGGAACAGGAGGAAAAUGAAAACUGGACAUCCAUCUUAGGACUUAAUCCUACGGAGACCACAAGCUGGAAGAGGCACUCAAUACUAGCAUGGCUUCUGUGGCAUUUUGA
rnacentral:lncRNA from 1 species